GAAAACACCAAUAUAUAUAGUAAGUCAAGUGGCCAACAUAAGGUAAGUAGGGAUAUGGUAAGUAGGCUCGACUAGGGUUAACUUCCAAUGGAAAGAAUCAACAAGCCACAAAGAGUAUUAGCCGUCCAAUAGGUAAAGCAACGUUUGGUCGGUUCAUCCAUUAUUCGAUGUUGAAUUAUCGUUCAGUCAUUCAUGUCGACUGAUAAAAUUGGUUCUCAUCAUCGCCCGG
rnacentral:lncRNA from 1 species